rnacentral:rRNA from 1 species
AUUGAACGCUGGCGGCAGGCCUAACACAUGCAAGUCGAGCGAGCGGCGGACGGGUGAGUAAUGUCUGGGAAACUCCCCGAUGGAGGGGGAUAACUACUGUAAACGGUAUCUCAUACCGCAUACCAUCAGAUGUGCCCAGAUGGGACUAGGUAGGAGGUGGGGUAACGGCUCACCUAGGCGACGAUCCCUAGCUGGUCUGAGAGGAUGACCAGCCACACUGGAACUGAGACACGGUCCAGACGCCUACGGGAGGCAGCAGUGGGGAAUAUUGCACAAUGGGCGCAAGCCUGAUGCAGCAAUGCCGAGUGUGUGAAGAAGGCCUUCGGGUUGUAAAGCACUUUCAGCGGGGAGGCGUUACCAACAGAAUAAGCACCGGCUAACUUCGUGCCAGCCGCCGCGGUAAUAC